rnacentral:rRNA from 1 species
UACCAGCACCCCGAGUGGUCGGGGCGUUUAUUGGGCCUAAAGCAUCCGUAGCCGGUUCUACAAGUCUUCCGUUAAAUCCAACUGCUUAACAGGUGGGCUGCGGAAGAUACUAUAGAGCUAGGAGGCGGGAGAGGCAAGCGGUACUCGAUGGGUAGGGGUAAAAUCCGUUGAUCCAUUGAAGACCACCGGUGGCGAAGGCGGUGGUCUGGGCCGGCACUGACGCUGAGGAGCGAAAGCGUGGGUAGCAAACAGG